rnacentral:rRNA from 1 species
AAACGACUCUCGGCAACGGAUAUCUCGGCUCACGCAUCGAUGAAGAACGUAGCAAAAUGCGAUACUUGGUGUGAAUUGCAGAAUCCCGUGAACCAUCGAGUUUUUGAACGCAAGUUGCGCCCAAAGCCAUUCGGUCGAGGGCACGUCUGCCUGGGCGUCACGC